UGGCGACCGGCGCACGGGUGAGUAACGUCGUAUCCAACCUGCCCUUUACUAUGGGACAGCCCGUCGAAAGGCGGAUUAAUACCGUAUGUUGUCAUGUUGAUGCAUAUUUUCAUGACCAAAGGCUUCGGCCGGUAAAGGAUGGGGAUGCGUCUGAUUAGCUUGCCGGCGGGGUAACGGCCCACCGGGGCGACGAUCAGUAGGGGUUCUGAGAGGAAGGUCCCCCACAUUGGAACUGAGACACGGUCCAAACUCCUACGGGAGGCAGCAG
rnacentral:rRNA from 1 species